rnacentral:rRNA from 1 species
UACGUAGGGUGCGAGCGUUGUCCGGAAUUAUUGGGCGUAAAGCGCGCGCAGGCGGCCUUUUAAGUCUGAUGUGAAAUCUUGCGGCUCAACCGCAAGCGGCCAUUGGAAACUGGGAGGCUUGAGUACAGAAGAGGAGAGUGGAAUUCCACGUGUAGCGGUGAAAUGCGUAGAUAUGUGGAGGAACACCAGUGGCGAAGGCGACUCUCUGGGCUGUAACUGACGCUGAGGCGCGAAAGCGUGGGGAGCAAACAGG